rnacentral:rRNA from 1 species
CGGGGGGAGCUUCUACUGCAAGCCGAACGGUAAGCCUCUUCGGAGGCCUAGAGUGGCGAACGGGUGAGUAACGGGUGGAUAAUCUGCCCUUCGGUGGGGGAUAACGGCUGGAAACGGCCGCUAAUACCGCAUUCGAUUACCGGAGCUUAGGCUUUGGUAAGGAAAGGCGCUGCAAGGCGUCGCCGGAGGAUGAGUCCGCCUCCCAUUAGCUAGUUGGCGGGAUAAUAGCCCCCCAAGGCAUCGAUGGGUAGCCGAGCUGAGAGGUUGGCCGGCCACACUGGGACUGAGACACGGCCCAGACACCUACGGGUGGCAGCAGUAGGGAAUCUUGGACAAUGGGCGCAAGCCUGAUCCAGCCAUGCCGCGUGGGCGAGGAAGGUCUUCGGAUCGUAAAGCCCUUUUCUCGGGGAAGAACCGCCUUUGGAGGAAAUGCCAGAGGUUUGACGGUACCCGAGGAAUAAGCAACGGCUAACUCCGUGCCAGCAGCCGCGGUAAUACGGAGGUUGCAAGCGUUGUUCGGAAUGACUGGGCGUAAAGGGAGCGCAGGCGGCUUGUUAAGUCUGGAGUGAAAGCCCGGGGCUCAACCCCGGCGGGUCUUCGGAUACUGGCAAGCUAGAGUACGGAAGAGGAAAGCGGAAUUCCAGGUGUAGCGGUGAAAUGCGUAGAUAUCUGGAGGAACACCGGUGGCGAAAGCGGCUUUCUGGUCCGAUACUGACGCUCAUGCUCGAAAGCGUGGGGAGCAAACGGGAUUAGAUACCCCGGUAGUCCACGCCGUAAACGUUGUGCGCUAGGGUGUAGGAGGUAUCGACCCCUCCUGUGCCGC